rnacentral:rRNA from 1 species
UACGGGGGAGCAAGCGUUGUUCGGAUUUACUGGGCGUAAAGGGCGCGUAGGCGGCGUAACAAGUCACUUGUGAAAUCUCCGGGCUUAACCCGGAGCGGCCAAGUGAUACUGUUGUGCUAGAGUGCGGAAGGGGCUACUGGAAUUCUCGGUGUAGCGGUGAAAUGCGUAGAUAUCUGGAGGAACACCGGUGGCGAAGGCGGCAUCCUGGACCGGCAUUGACGCUGAGGAGCGAAAGCCAGGGGAGCAAACGGG